rnacentral:rRNA from 1 species
GACGAACGCUGGCGGCGUGCUUAACACAUGCAAGUCGAACGGCAAGGCCCUGCUUUUGUGGGGUGCUCGAGUGGCGAACGGGUGAGUAACACGUGAGUAACCUGCCCUUUACUUUGGGAUAACUUCAGGAACCUGGGGCUAAUACCGGAUAGGAGCUCCUGCUGCAUGGUGGGGGUUGGAAAGUUUCGGCGGUUGGGGAUGGACUCGCGGCUUACCAGCUUGUUGGUGGGGUAGUGGCUUACCAAGGCUUUGACGGGUAGCCGGCCUGAGCGGGUGACCGGCGACAUUGGGACUGAGAGACGGCCCAGAGUCCUACGGGAGGCAGCGGUGGGGAAUAUUGCACAGUGGGCGGAAGCCUGAUGCAGCGACGCCGCGUGCGGGAUGACGGCCUGCGGGUUGUGAACCGCUUUCGCCUGUGACGAAGCGUGAGUGACGGUAAUGGGUAAAGAAGCACCGGCUAACUACGUG